AGCGAACGCUGGCGGCAGGCCUAACACAUGCAAGUCGAACGAACUCUUCGGAGUUAGUGGCGGACGGGUGAGUAACACGUGGGAACGUGCCCUUUGGUACGGAAUAACUCAGGGAAACUUGAGCUAAUACCGUAUGUGCCCUUCGGGGGAAAGAUUUAUCGCCAUUGGAGCGGCCCGCGUCUGAUUAGCUAGUUGGUGAGGUAAAGGCUCACCAAGGCUACGAUCAGUAGCUGGUCUGAGAGGAUGAUCAGCCACAUUGGGACUGAGACACGGCCCAAACUCCUACGGGAGGCAGCAGUGGGGAAUCUUGCGCAAUGGGCGAAAGCCUGACGCAGCCAUGCCGCGUGAAUGAUGAAGGUCUUAGGAUUGUAAAAUUCUUUCACCGGGGACGAUAAUGACGGUACCCGGAGAAGAAGCCCCGGCUAACUUCGU
rnacentral:rRNA from 1 species